GUUAGUGACCGAUUCCCAUUAAUGAGCUCACAGAAGCACCAGAAGCAUCAUUUAAUUCCAGCAAACUGGAACCUGGUUAGACCUGAUGAUGAGGUAAACAUGACACCUGAUCAUGUGACCUGUUACAGUCAGAAACAGUAGAGAUGGAAAAAGUAAAAGAGCUGAAGUCAGAAACUGCUGUCAACAAAAACAAAUAAAAACAGUUUUUAUGCUAAGCUAUUCUAGCUGUUUUAGAGAGAAAGAAGAAGAAUUUAUCACAGUUGGAAAUGUUAAAUAAUAAAAGGCAUAAUUAAAGUGUAAUAAAAGCUGUAAUAAAGUGUAAUAAAGUGUAAUAAAAGCUGUAAUAAAGUGUAAUAAAGUGUGAUAAAAGGUGUAAUAAAGUGUAAUAAAGUGUAAUAAAAGCUGUAAUAAAGUGUAAUAAAAGCUGUAAUAAAGUGUAAUAAAGUGUAAUAAAGUGUAAUAAAGUGUAAUAAAAGCUGUAAUAAAGUGUAAUAAAAGCUGUAAUAAAGUGUAAUAAAGUGUAAUAAAGUGUAAUAAAGUGUAAUAAAGUGUAAUAAAAGCUGUAAUAAAGUGUAAUAAAGUGUAAUAAAAGCUGUAAUAAAGUGUAAUAAAAGCUGUAAUAAAGUGUAAUAAAGUGUAAUAAAAGCUGUAAUAAACUGUAAUAAAGUGUAAUAAAAGCUGUAAUAAAGUGUAAUAAAGUGUAAUAAAAGCUGUAAUAAACUGUAAUAAAGUGUAAUAAAAGCUGUAAUAAAGUGUAAUAAAGUGUAAUAAAAGCUGUAAUAAAGUGUAAUAAAGUGUAAUAAAAUCUGUAAUAAAGUGUAAUAAAAGCUGUAAUAAAGUGUAAUAAAGUGUAAUAAAAGGUGUACUAAAGGCUUAACAAAGGUGAUCAGUGGGUUAAUGAUGUCAGAACAGAGUGAACCAAU